AUCGAGUGCUUCUGGUGUACCAAUCUUCUCAAGCAUCUUGUCGACCAGUGAAUCUACUCGACUAACAAAGAACGAAGCAACACUUGUCACUCGUGACAGGUCAUCGAGCCCAGAUGCCUCGAGACCGUCCAGUGCAAUGACUUCCUUGAUUGAGGGAAUGCAAGGAGCUGUAGCGGGAAUUUUGAUGUAGACAUUUGAGCGAUUAACCCAUUUAUGAAGCCAUUUAGCAGCCUCUAUUGUGUUUUCGGUAUCAUCCGCGAGUCGUGGUGAAACUUCGACAGAGACGUAUCCAUCAGCCCCAUCUGUUUCGUCGUAAAUCGCCUCGAAAAGUUUGCAUGCAUCUUGGAUAUCUUUCACCACAAGUUCCCAGUACGCACUUUCUAUGUCUUUUCCGGAUUGCACUAGUUCCCUGCAUUUAUUUAUUCACAUAUAUAUGAUACUGUAAUUAAGCUGCAAGCCCCUUUCUCAAAAAACCAACAAAAUCGAUGGUAAAUUUAUAUCAGGAAAAUCGAAAUAAAAAGGGUCCAAAGUUUUUUUUAAUGGAAUAGGGUUAUUUACUCUCGA